rnacentral:rRNA from 1 species
CGGUGGGCUAACCUUUUAGGAGGCAGCCGGCCACGGUAAGGUCAGCGACUGGGGUGAAGUCGUAACAAGGUAGCCGUAGGGGAACCUGCGGCUGGAUCACCUCCUUU